UCAACCUUAGCUUAGCUAGUAGUUUGUGCGGUCCGAUUCUGUGUGCGAAGAGGAAUAAAAAGCCGACGACGGCGUUCUGUUCUAGAGUCGGAACCAACCGCCUCCUACCAGCUCGUGCUCGCCACACCGCCACCAAAAGCCUUAGCCGCCCUGCUGACCCCGCGGUCUCAGCGAUCGAGCCCCGGAAGGCCCACUGGGAUCCGGAAGGGAGACCACACGCUACACGUGGCUCCAGGGAGAGCCAUCCAUCGCGCCAGCCGUUCCUGUCCAGCCGCUGGUCCAGAUUCGCCGCAGGAGUUCACCAGACCGUAGACCCCGGUCCACGUGGUCACGCACCGUCCAGGUUCCCGAAGGAGGCGACCCGUCCACCAGGCCGCCCCCUUAAGAUCGCGCGCCUUUCAUCUGCUCCAGAAGAAUAUCGCACCGCGCGGUGCACUAGCGACGCGUAAGCCAAUCAACGAAACCGGUCCGUUUUUACAAAACGACCCGCCCUGCGGCUGGGUCUAGUCGGGCAUAAACCAGGCAAGUCGGUCCUCUACGGAGGUGGUGCAUAAACCGUUUGCUUAUUAACAAACCCGUGGGACGGUUAUCGGACGGAUUCCUUCGUGGCUACGAUUUGCGUACCACAAUGUAACAAGUUCGCACGCGCGGAAACUACCUAUAAAUCAUU